AGAGCCUGGCUUUCACCUCUUCCUCCCUCUUGCUAAUCCUUCUGAGUCCUGGGCUUCAUUGUAAAUGGUCUGAAGAGUCUUUUAGCCUCAAAGCCUAAAUAUUUGCUUAAAAUAAAUGUAGAAACAGGUAUAGGGAGGUGGUUGAGUGAAAGGAAAAAUGUGUGCCCAGGAAACAAAUGCAAAAGAAGAGAGCACAAUAGUAAAACGAUGAUGAAGGAUGUAUAAAAUGAACCUGAAUUUCACCUUCUUCUGGUAGGCCUUCAUUUGGUAUCUUUGCAGGUGCCUGCUUGAGGUAAUGUGGAUGCACAAGGCAGUGAAUCUAAUUUUUGAAACUGUUUAAAGAGAGGUUUUUUAGUCUGUAAGCACAUUUCUUUUAAGGG
rnacentral:lncRNA from 1 species